UUGGAGGGCAAGUCUGGUGCCAGCAGCCGCGGUAAUUCCAGCUCCAAUAGCGUAUAUUAAAGUUGUCGCAGUUAAAAAGCUCGUAGUUGAAUUUCGGGGUUCUACCGUUGGUCGGGCUUUGUCUGUACUGGUGUGUAGAAUUUCUACCUUCUGGGGAACUAUCAUGCUAUUAAUUUAGCGUGGUGGGAAACCAGGACCUUUACCUUGAAAAAAUUAGUGUGUUCAAAGCAGGCUUAUGUCUGAAUACAUUAGCGUGGAAUAAUAGAAUAGGACGGUGGUCCUGUUUUGUUGGUUUCUGAAUCACCGUAAUGAUUAAUAGGGAUAGUUGGGGGCAUUAGUAUUCAAUUGUCAGAGGUGAAAUUCUUGGAUUUAUUGAAGACUAACUUCUGCGAAAGCAUUUGCCAAGGAUGUUUUCAUUAAUCAAGAACGAAAGUUAGGGGAUCGAAGACGAUCAGAUACCGUCGUAGUCUUAACCAUAAACUAUGCCGACUAGGGAUCGGACGAUGUUAAUUUUUCUUGACUCGUUCGGCGCCUUACGGGAAAC
rnacentral:rRNA from 1 species